rnacentral:lncRNA from 1 species
UUUCGCCACAACAAUUGGAAGCACUUUGAUUAAAGUCCUAGGCAAAUAGAAGACUCAAAACUCCCUGACCAUGAGAUUGAUGACCGGAAAACAUUAAAAAAAAAUCCCAUAGAAUUGCAGGGCCAUGGAAACAUGGAGUGAAGGUCUCUACAAAUGAAAUUCAAAUCAGAGCCUGUUAAAUUAGAACUGUUUUGACUCAGUUAGACUUGACAUGUUCCUGAACAACAUUAUAGCCUUCACUUGUCUCACCAUAAUCCUGCAAACCAGCAAGGGAAAAAAUGUUAGCCCUAAAGACGACAAUCCAGUACAAACAUGCAAUACCUUAAAGGACUCACACCUUCACAACAACGCAGGAGCAGCCACAACCUUCCUGGCCUUGCCCUCAGAAUCAAUCUUGCAUAACUGCAUGAAGGGACCCAGGGAACAAAGCAGUACCAGUAAAUAAACGUUAUGGUUUUGUGACAAAAAAUCAUUUAAUAGAAAUACAUAAGCAAGUUUUCACAGGAAAAAAAUGGUAACAUGAUCUGCAAUAAGCCAAUAUCUAUUAAUUCAAUACAAAACAACAAGCUGUUUUACUCUUUUGACCUAGCUAACAAUAACUCCAUCACUGGCAAGAAAAACAUGAUGUGCUACAGAAAAUAGAUGAGGAAAAAAAGGCACUAUACCAAAGUUUUACAUCUAAGCUAUAUGUGGACUAAAAACAUUAAUGAUUCAUAUAAAAAAGCUAAUUAAAAAGAACUUACUCCAGCCCACUCGCCAAGGGUCUUAGCACUGGGAACCGUCAAUAAGCCUACACCAUGAUCAGCACAGAGUGCUUUAACGAGUUUGACAUAGUCUGGCUGGUUGCAGUCCUCUGCCAAUACACAGAGCUGGGCAGCAUGCUUCUCAAUCACUUUAGCACCUUCAUGGAGGCCCCGGGCAAGUCCACCAUGAGCUAGACUCUUUUUCAGAACAAGCUGUAAUGCUGUCAUCAAGUCCAUGGCCUCAAGAGGCUGAGCAGGAGCAGGAGUCUCAGCAGGAGCGGGAGUCUCUUCACUGCAAAGAUGAGGAGAUCCAAAUACAAUAAACAAUGAUGGCACAAACCAUCAUUUCCAGUUCAAGAAUCAAACAACAAAAACCCCACAUCAAAUAAAUACGAUAGAUACUUUCUGUUUUUUGAUUUUGGGGAAGGAAGAGGAUGCAAAAUGCACCACCUUUAAGUGGGUCAUAAGUAACAAUCUAUAAUACAUUUUGAUUGGUGCAUCAAAAUUCGCAUCAAAGGCCUUUCUAGCAAAAUACGAUAGUUAGCACAUUGUCCUUUCUAUCACUAGUUUUUUUCUUGAAAAAAAAGUGUCAAAGGCCUCUGGCAAACGCCUAGCAUUCAAAGACUUGAAAUCAUUGAAUGGAAGCUCAAAAAUUCCAAGAAAUCAAGAUGCACUUGCAAGAUGAUGGGUUGAAACGUGCCUAAACUCUAGGCAUAAAAACCAUUCGCAAUUCUUAAGAGAAAUAAAUCAAUUCACCAUGUCAACAAUCACCACAAGUAACAGCAAGAAGAAAAAGAAGAAGAAGCGCCUAGCAUAUCAAAUGUGCAACAGCAUUAUGACCAAUAAGAAAAACCCAAAAUCGGAGACUACAAACUAACCUCUAACAGCAUGGGUUAAACACAUAAUAAUAGCUAGUAAAACUGGAAAUCACAAACAAACACGGGUUAAAAUUAUAAUUUAUCAAAACAGUUACAUACCCUGACAUUUUGGGAUUUGUUGAUAAUUUUAGAAUCUCCUUACUGCAAAACCACAACAAAGCCAAAACAGAAAAUCAGUACUCAAACAAUACUGAUCGACUACAAACAGGACAGGCCAAGUUCAAAUUUUGAUAACAUUAACUAACUGAAACUGAAGAUGGCUUGAAGCAAGAGAAAGAGGACAAAGACCUUUGCAAGUGAAGGUAGGCCUCCUGCUGCUUGUGUGCCUGCGAAGCAAAUAGGAGGGUCGCGAAGGAAGACGAUAAAAAAAGGAGGGCAAAAACCCUAAAUUUCUAAGCGACCUUCUUGUCCUUCAAUUCCUUGUCCUAGGCCCUAAGGUCCAAUAUCCAGCCGGGCCUCGAUAAAAUUGAAAUCGAAAAGAGCUCGGUCCAACGGAAAUAUUUAAUUCCUUUUCUUUUCUUUAACGAAUAAGAAAUCUUAUUUUAUUAGUUAUUAUUUUUAAAUGCAAUUUCUAUUCAUUGAAUGCAUGGAUUUUAUUAAAUUAUUUAUUUUAUGAUCAUGUUGAAAAUAAUAAGAGCCGAUUUCCCCACCUAGACACCAAUGGGCUUAUCAUAUUCUUGUUAUGUAAUUUGGUGUUGGUUCCGUCACCGUUCGAGCAAGGUAGCAGGCUGGGCUAAACCUGUUAUCUUUUCAAUUGACAUUGGAACAUGCCUGUUUCUAAAAGCUGGUACCAUCUAGCACCCAGGCAUAUCUCCCGAGCUGAGCAGAGCAAUUCAAUGUUCUCUAUCAACUUGGCAAAAAUCCAACUCUGCGGCCGAGAGAAAUCCACUCUCUUCAUUCGUUAGGGUUUAUCACAAGACUCCAUUAGUAGUUGCUAACUAGCUGAUGCUAAAAGAGUCUGAAAACAUUGAAGGGGAAAAGAUAGAAGAAUCAGAAGGCAGAUACAGUAAUAGCUUAUUAGGAAAUCCUGGCAUACCCAGAAGCUGACCAAAAAGAAAAAGACCUGCACAACCGAGAAAUUCCUGCAAUGAACAUUAUCUUACACCUUACAACAUUAUGAUUCCGGAGCUAAUUAAUGCACUAUCACAUUCAUAAAGCAUCAUAGUUGACCCAUGUCAUCUUCGAAAGGAAAAAUGCCAUUACCUGAAAAUUGCCACUGCAAAGUUCAAACUGCAAUGCAAUCGUAUGCUUGUUGCAUCUCGAACACCAUGAGAAAUGGGUACAUGAUCAGAGCAUAAGGGAAUUGGGAUACAACUAACCACUUAACUAUACAAGAUACUAAAGGAACCAUUUAAAUCAUAGUUGACCACUCAUGCAAGCCAUCAAGAAGUUAAAGUCCAAUUUUCUUACAUUUUGACCACUCAUUGAGGCCAUCAAGAAUUCAAGUCCAGUUCUUUUACAUUUUGACUUUGGGCCAGCAUCAUCUUUAGAAUCUGCUUGGAUAAUGAACCUCUACUGAACUCAAAAGGUAAAAAGAUUUCAAGGCCACAAAGUCAAUUUUCUUCUAAAUCUGAUUAUUGCAGUAAAGAUCAUGGAACUUAGACCUUAGUCCGGCAUCACUUUCAGAGUAAAGAAGGCAAGCUCUUUUUAUUUUUUUCCGCAAAAAAUCCAACUGGGUAAAAAUAAUCCAGAAUAACAAAGUCAGUUUGAAGAAGACAAAAAGUGUCUAUGCUGAAAAGAUGCAACAUGUCAGAUGAUUGAGAUGAUGGAAGAGAAUACUAACUCCACAUUGAUAAGGCAUCAACCUCGAUGGAUCGGAUAAGACACAAAAAUAUGUAGUAGUAGAACUAUACCUGACAAAGUAACAUAGCUGACACAUUGAGCAGAGAGAUGAAUGCAGCAAAGUAAUUUUGACAGGUAACUCGAGAAAAACCAUAACCGGAAAAGGAUAAUGCAAAUGCUAAAGAAAAAUGAUGACAAAGUAAUUUUUAUACAAUAAAAGAAACCCAAACAAUCAACAGACAGAGUUGCCAUCAGUAUACACAUUACUGAGGCUAACGCAAUGAGAGAGAAACCAAAACCAAGGAGGAGGAGGAGAAGGGGGAGGAGGAGAUUUUACUCGAGCUGGUAUAAGGAGAUGUCACAUCAUUUAUUAUCUGACAUCAUCUGUGAACCAGUAUUGUGUUUAUGUAAACCUAAAAGCAGUAAUUGACACUUGAAACUAAGUACUCUAUGAUGCAGGAUACUACGGUAAAUGAUUAUAAAUCUAUAACUAAGAACCAAGGAGGAGCACGCAUAAGAAACANNNNNNNNNNNNNNNNNNNNNNNNNNNNNNNNNNNNNNNNNNNNNNNNNNNNNNNNNNNNNNNNNNNNNNNNNNNNNNNNNNNNNNNNNNNNNNNNNNNNUUUAGAAAAGUGGAAAUUGAGGUAGGAAUUUUUCUCCAUGUCAUGAAAAGUUGCAUGCCAAAAGAACCUUUAGACACUUUCAUGCAUUUGGUGAUGAUAUCAAGAGUCUUGAAGAAUGCAAUCAAAUUGAGGUCUAAAGACUUGAUGGAUGUGAGGAAAGAUCCAUUACCGAAGAGGCCUAAUCACAAACCAUUGUUCAGGUCCAAGCCUAAGGAUUGCUUGGAUGCACGACACUAGGGUCACAAAACAAAAGAUAACCUUUAAGUUGCCUAAAACAGAGAGACUAAAACUGGCACUUGUUCUAUACUAAACCAACCUCACGGUUUUCCUAUGCCUCUCCGCCUGUUGUGUCUGUACGCAAGAUUCACCAGUUUCUAGUCAGUUUCAGGUGAAAGGGAAGAGCUCGCUUCCCCCUGCUGUUCCCUCUUAGGUCCAUCUGAGCCAUGAGAUUCAUCACCCCCUCUGGAACUUUCAUCCUUGGAUAGGGUUGCACCAACUGGCAUGGCCAGCUCAGAGUUGAAGCUACAGAACACGGUAACAGCUUUGGGACUUCCAUCGUCAGAUGUAUUUACAGUCUCUGGCAUUGCUUGCUUGGAGUUGUUAUCAAUCCUUUGCGGAUCGUGAAUCUUCAACCUGACAGUAGAAUUUUCACCAUCAUCUUUUGAACCGCUACAUGACCCAGGUGUGUUUUUACUAUCUUCUGAACCACUACCUGGCCCAGAUGUGUCAUGAUCCACAGGUUUGUCAACACAAAUUGGUUCGUCAUGGACAGCACCAUAUGCAGAUUUGCCAGCAAAUCUUCUAGCGGUGGUUUUGGAAAUGCUGGCGGCUCUGCUCCUGGCAUACCAUCAUACAUUUCAGUCGGUAGCUGACCACAUGAAAAACAUAACACAGACCUCAUGAAAGCAUGCAAGCCAACCUUUUUGAGGAUGAAACAGCCUUCGAUUUUUUUUUUGACUCUGACUUGGUUUCAUUUUUCACUUUUUGCAGUCUGGUAACAUAUUGCAAAAGCAAAGCACAGAUCAGACCAUGCAACAAGGAAUCAGAAAAUACCUGUCUACUAACUAUGGGAAAACCAUGAUAUCAGGCUUAUUUAAAGAACUUAAAUGAUAAUCCCUGAACUUACAUAUCAGAUGAAGUACCAGGUUUUGGAACAUCAAUCUCCUGCCCCUGCAAACAUUGUUAGCACAAUUGCGAGACAGAUAAUUACUUCCCGGAAACAGUUCUAGAACAUAAAAGAAGGGAAACUGUGGAGUAUAGAAUGAGGCAAAACACCCACUUGAACUGGAAAGAUACCAUCUUCAAUGAAUUCCCAUCGCUGCUUUUUGAGAUUAAGCUUCUCUUCAUCCCCAUCAGCAUACAGGACCUGAACGAGAAGUCAUCAACAUACAUAUUUUAGAGCUAUGAUAUGAAGAAAUGAAAAUAGAAAAAUUUAUAUCGAUGUUUGGUGAGAUGGUUCGGACUCUAUCAUCCAUAAUGAACCAAUUACUCCAUCAGAAUAAUCUGGAUCCAUUGAUCUUAUAAGAAAAGCUCCAGCAAGCCUAAUAAAAGGUGUCAUUUCUGUCAUAGACACAAGUACUCGUGAUUUAUCACAAACUUUGGCCCUGGGUAUUGCCACAAUUGCUACAGAAAAACCGAACUCCAAGUAGAAGACAGGUUCAAAAAGAUAAUUCCUUCUCCUUCCUUUUUCUAGAUAAGGAGGGAUUACUCAGAGUCACCCACCUUGUGCUUCUUUUUGAUGGGGUCGUAGGAAUCAACAACUCCUUCAUAGAACCUGCAGAACAAGAAAACAAGUACAGAAACUUCAGUAUGGAUGUUCUUUGGAAAGAUCAAUAAUAUAGGUGGUUUAUAAGCUGAGCCCUAAUUCAAAUUUAUGGGGCCAGAAUCUCAGCCAAAGAUAUCUAGUGCAUAUCAAAAUACUUGAUCUACUUUCACUAAACAUAAAAAGCCACAGGCAAGUCAAGCUCUUUCACAAAUCGAUGUUUCUUUCUUUCUUAUUUUUCUGUGCUGAGCUGACAGCAGGUAAUGGUUCAGCACCCACGGAAAGCAUGUUCAAAAGCUCAAAAGACAGUAAACAAAAACAUCAACUUUCUCUGUUAAAGAAAACUUUAGAUACACCAUAUACAGUCAAAAAGGAAACUAAAGCAUGUCAUGCAUAGGUAGAGACAUUGAAAUCAAAGAUCCUCUCUGGUAGAAUAUGACUACUGUCAAAAUCCCUUUCAAUCACCCCUAGUAAGAUUAUAUAAAGAUCAAGGAUCAACAUAAAAAGAACCACCUUGUCCACUUUAUGACUGUAAAUGGUUAGAAUCCUGGUGUGAGACAAAGACAUUAAAUUGACAGCUUGAUCUCUCUUCGGCCAACUUUUGAAUAGUUAUUCCCAUACUAUUAUUAUUCAUGCAGCUAUCAAACCUUGCAUUAUCAUUUCAAGUCUAAUUUUGAGACAAAAACAAACAAGAUGAUGAUGAUGAAUAAAAUUCUCUCAGCCCACUUUCAAAAGCCUAUUCAAGGACCUUAUACUCAGCAUUAAAUAACUCCAGUCUCCACUGUGAGCAUAGAACUUGUAGAAGUCAAUCUGAGACAUCAGAGUACAAAAAGUCACAAGCUCAAUAAGAAUUGGUGAUUGAAGACAAGCAAGCACAAGACAACCAGCAAGACACGACAGGAAAAGUGAGAAAUUCUGGACAUCUAACAAUUUUUUUUUAAAAGAAAAAAAAAAUGAAACUAGAAGUCAGAUAUUCAACUCUCACCUCUUAUCCAUUGGCCACCAAACCUUUAUUUUGCUACCAACCAAUUGCUCACCAAGAUCAGGAGUUCCAGAAAACUGAAUUUUAGAAUAUAGCCAUGUCAAUAAAUUGAAAAAUGACAAAGAUUACAGAAGAUAAUAAGGUGGCAAAAAUAUCUCAAUCUAAAAGCCUGAUGUAUAAGCAUGCUUAAAAGGAAAACAGUUGAAUAAAAAUCACAACAUAAGCAUGUGACAUAUCCCAAGAUGUGUUGUUACGAUUCAAGAGCUUCAGAACAAGCUUCAGCAGUGCUUUCUCACAACAACAAAAAAAAAAUCUAGAUCUCAAAGAUAGUUUUCGAUGUGUGAAAUGAGUUUAUUUGAUGAAUUUGAAAUUCCAAUUACAUUUGACAAUUACGAGAUAAGUUUAAAGCAUUUGUCUGGUUUAUGCCCUAUCUCAAAUGGAGGCUCACAUCAUCCCUGUAAACCACAUGUAUCAACCACCAAUGUUAGACUUAAAAAGAUUUACUAGCAUUUAUUCAUAGUCAAGGCAAACAAUUGGAGUGCUGAUUCAAAAUUAACAUAGCAAUUAGCAAUUACAUUUAACAUCAAAUAUAAAUUUGACUAUUAGUCCAAUAUUUUCACGAUCAUCAAAAAGCAAAAGCAAGCAAAAGCAAGUUAAAAUCUUGUCCGCAGCACAAACAUUCUGAUUGCUGAAGUACAAAAUUGUGCCUUUUUUUUCUUUCAGUUCUGAUAGCCAUUUCUAUUUUCACGCAUUAAGCCAAUAAGGCAAACCAAUCAGAGAUUUAUCUCCCUUCACAAUGGUUAAGCUGGCUUCCCAGUCACAAAUCAGUUUCUGAGAUUGUGACAUAAAGCAUCUCAUAGGACUUUUGAGUUGCAAAACAUUGGGUGGAACAGCUAGAUAUUGCAGCACAGCUUUUUAAACUCAAUUGAUGCAUAGAGUGCGUGCAAUUGAACUGGCAGAAAAACAGAUUUCAACUCCUAUACCCAUCCCCGGGGAAAGAGAUAUAUCAGGAGAAAUGAAGAGCAUAUCAUCAACCUGAUACAGUGAUACUCCUCUCUACACUCAAAAUUUUUCAGCCUUUUUUUAGGGAACAUUUUCAGCAAUUUUAUAGUGUGUGCAAAGUCUGAACAGAGAUAAACUAAUGUAUAGGAAAACCAGUUGAGGUAAAUGUGACAAAGUGGAAAAAUAAAAAUGAAAAACAUGGAAAAGAAAAGAAGGGAAGUCCCAUUGACAAGCUACAAGUUAAUAACAAGAAAUAAGGAAUCCAUACCACUUCCUUCCUUGGAGUACGCUUCCUCUUGAGCUUUGGUUGUGGGGUUUCUUCCAGGUAAGUUCCAUCCAUGUCUAAUGAUUUUUUCUUCUGUACAAUUGGCAAACAUCAGGAUAAAAGAAAAGCUUUAUACAUAACAGAUGUAAAUGCUAGUCAGAUCCUUAUCCAUUCAAUACCUUAUCUCUAAAUGCUUCCCCAACAUCCUCGUCUGAAUUAACAUCCAAAGACUUCUUUUUUGUGCCUGUUGGGACUGAAGUGCGGUGCUUAUUAAAUCUCCUUACUGCAAUCACAACUGGCUGGUGGACAGACUUUUCCUCUGGUUCACUGAGGACCACUGAUUUCUUUGAAGAUACUACACGUCCAGAAGACAGAGAUAUCUUCUUAGGAGUCUUUGAGCCAAGUUCAUUUUUUCUUAUGCGUUUUUGUUUCUUUGCUUCUGAGUCACUUCUUUCUUUAGACUGCUUUCUCAAACUGGCAUCAUCGAAUUCUGGAGCUUUCUCUUCGACCUGAGCACUCAUGCUUUCACGCUUUGACAGCAAUGAAGGACUUGGAUCAGCAUCUUCACUCGUACUGUUUCCCUUUUUCCUUGGCCGGCCUCUUUUAAAAUGACUUUCAGCAGUUAUGUCUUGUUGUGGGGUUAGGGAAGAAGACCUUGAGAUUUUAACAGUUUUGGGGGUAAAUCUUGUAGGUUUUGUCACUUUCACAUGCAUUAAUGACAGAGCUACCUUCUUGGAAUCUGAAGUUUCUGAGGGUAAAUCAUCGUUGCCCUUAUCUUGAAGCUUUUCACGGAGAAGUUUGGUAGUUUUUCUUCCUAUUGAAAACCAAGGAUCAUAGCCUUCUUCUGGAUUCAUCAAAGAAUUAGGUUUCCAGCCCCUUUUACUUGGAACAGACUUUGGCUCCAUUUCUAACAUGACUUCAGGUUCUGCUUUGUCCUGUGCAUUGGUGCUUUUAGAAUGCUCAGUAUGAGAACAAGGCUCUAGCAUAUUUGAAGCAUUAUCCUUUUUAACAGUCCCAGCAUUUCUAGUUGAAGCAGUUCCAUUCCUUGCUAUUGACUUCGGAAUCACAUCCUUACCUUCAAAAACUUCUUUACGACAAGCAGCAUUUGGUGAUAAUCCCUUGGACAUUAGACCAACAGAAAAAUUAAUAUUAAAAAGGAUGCCUAUUUAAAAAUAAGAAAAAAUCCAAAUUGCAGCAAAAGAGCACUGGGCACAAAUGCUACCUUUCAAGUCACGACCACACUUCUAUGAGAAUAAUAAAAAGGUUAUCUCAUCUAUCUCUAACUAGCAUAUGCAACAGUCAUGAGUUUAUUUUCCUCUUUAUUUUAUUUUAUUCAUUUUGCAUGAAAAGUCUAUCAGUCAUAGAUUGAUAACUGAAAUGUCACUAGUAGGGCAAAACAUCUCAUGUGGUCCCUCUACUUCUCAAAUUUGAUCAAAUCAACCAUGUCCCUUAAAUUGGACCAAAUCAACUCCACUUCCAGUUAGAUUUGAGAUCCUCCACUUGAUUACAUCAUAACAAGUGGCAUUUAGCUGGCCAUUUAACUAGUAAUGGAAUUAGAGGAAGGGACUGACAUCACCUUUACUUAGAAAAAAAGGGUUGAUUUGAUCUAUUUUGAAGUAAAAGGUUUGAUUUAGCGAAAUUAAGAAAGUAGGAGGCUGCUUGUGAUUUGUAGCAAAUCACUAGCAGUAUAAGACAGUAAAUGGGCUUCAUCUCACAUCAGAAAAGUAAACGGGUUUUGGAUUCUACAAAGCAGAUAAAAGGGAAACCAAAACUUAUUCUUGAAAAUGAAGUCAGAAAUUAUAUUUAGCAAAAGAAGAGAACUCUGGAUCAGUUUUCCAUCUUAGGUAACAUUUUACAAUUGCAAGACAAGAUCACAAAAAACUCCACUCAAAUCUCAUGCAGUUAUAGACAGGGAUAAGAAACAUACCAAAGGUUCCCCAGAAUGAUUGUUAUAAUCACAUUCGAGUGUGUGAGACUCAUCCUGGAAUAUAGAAGCAACUAUUGGAGCAUAUUCAUCCAAAGGAAUGCCUGUAGACUGCACAGCUUCCUUGAGAUAGGGCUUAAUUUUAGCAGCACAAUUAGUGAUAACUCUUUCCCCAAGCUUCCAUGCUAUAGGAGAAAAACUCUGGAACAAUAGUAUUUGUAGAGUAAAUCUAAUCGAACCUAUCAAGACCAUGAUGGAAAAGAGAAAUAUUUUUGGAUGACACACCUGGUUUUGCUUUUUUACACUCACUAAAAGGAGAGUGAGAAGCUCCAGUGAGAUUUCUUCACUUUCAUCAAUGACCAGGGUCAUAAUUGUUUCCAUGGCCAAGAUUGCAAUUUGUGGAUGAUUGGACCUUGAAGUUGAACAAGAAAAGCCAUCAGUUGUUGAAGAGAGACCAAAAAAAAUCCAGGCAUUUAUAUGAAAGUAAACAGGAAAAGAAAGGCAGAUAGAAAGCCCCAAGCUACCACUGCUUCGACAACAACAAAACAGCACCCAAGCUUCAAUCCCAAACUAGUUGGGGUUGGCUAUAUGGAUCCUUUUCCGACGAUCAUGUACUACCACUGCCUAAAAAAAAUGCUACCAUAUCUUUAUUAUGAAAACUAGAACAGAAACUAUAAAUACAUAGCACAAUGUAUCCCUUGAAGUUAUCAAGAAAAUAGUUUCAUAUAAAUUCUGACACUUUCCACCCUAGCAAGUCCCAAGCUAUGUCCAAUCUUCAAGUGGGUAGGAUGCAUAGCCACAUACAAACAACUCUUGAGUUGCUUCUCAUCCGUAAUAAUCCCUUCUGGGUCUCUUCAACUUCCAACAAGCACAACAACUUUCCUGAUCUUCUUUUCUACAAAGAUUGACAGUAGACCUUUGCAAUCUAAAUUCCAAAUUAGAUCAAGAACAGUUUUCUAAAGGGAGCUAUAUUGAAAUGCAGCAUGAGUUUUAAAUGCUAAAAACUCCACCUGACACGCACACACCAAAAAACAAAACCCUUUAACUUUGUAUGAAACUUUUGAGAAUUUGUAAAAUUUUGCAGAACCAAGAACACAAUUGGAAAAAAUCCUGUCAUGUUCUUACUGUAAACUUCUGACAAUGAAAUUCCAAUAUAAGUAACGAAAGAAUUAUUCAAACCCUGAUUCACUUUAAUUUUAGCUGCUCCAAAACUCUUUUUUUAGAAGUACAAUGUUACACACUAAGAAAAAUUAAAAGUUACAGAAUCUAAUGAGCUGAAAUUACUCGCCAAAUUUGAAUCAUUCUGAACACAAAUUAGUUAAGGAACUCUAUUAUUGAAGGCAAUACAGCCGGUUUGGGGAUUGUAAAUGGGAGAUAGAACAAUACAUGGAAUAGGCAGUAAUUUCUAUAUCUUUCAUAAAAUGACAUAUAAACAUGAGAAGAUAUGAAGCAAAAGUUAAUGAUAAUGACAAGGCUCCCGAGUCCUACCUGAUGAAUUUCAGAAAGUAUUGGAACAUAUCUAAAAUUAGUUCAUCCAACUCCAGGUCCAGCAUCAUCAAGCAUGACCUCACCCUCGCUACAUUCUCAAGAAUUGAAACUGCCUUUGUAUAACAAUGGCCAGACUCAUGGGAUAAUUUUUCAAAAGAUGCUACAGUCAAUUGAAAAAUUUCCUGUUCAUCAUUCGAAAAGCAGACAGCAUAAGAGCCCGAAAAGAAAAAUGUAGGAGCAUAUAAUGAAGAAAUCUUAUUCUGAUCACCCGCACACAUGGAAAUUGAUUUCAGCUGCUAUAAGUACCUUCAUUAGGUCAUCAUUGUAAGGGGCAUCUGGUGCUGUUAUUCUUGUAAUCUCACUCAUGCAAGAUGCAACCGCAACCCUUACAUCUUCGUCCAAGUGCCUCAAAAUGGUACUAGAGAUUAAUGCCUUCAUUGGUGGUAAAAGAGCAUCUUGCAUUGAUCUUGAUGGUGCUUGCUCCACAUUUGUGAGCAAACGCUCCAGUUUCUACAAGACAAAAUGAAACACAAUAACAGCUCGAUCCAUAAGCAAUAAAGAAAUAGUAAAGAAAAAAUAUGACAAUUCUAAAAAAGUGAUAUGAGCCAUACAGAGGUCAUCAAAGGACCAAAUAACCAAGAAAAGAAAAUGACAAAACAAAACGAAAACACCAUUACAGGCUAUAAAGCUCAAAUUACAUGAAUGCCAGUAAGUUUCAUGGAAAAGACCCAUUGAAAAAAAUUCCAAAAUCUGUUAACACAAGCUGGACUUCAUAUAACUCAUCACAGACACACUUCAUGCCAGAUAGCAAUGUCUUUGUAGGAUAACCAUUUUGAUUUGAAUAACUUAAAUAAGAUUUUUCCACCAUUAGUGUCUCAGAAAAGGCAACACAUACACAUCAUCUAGGGCAGAACUUGCUAUCUUUUAUUUACUAAUAACUACAGCACAAGGAAUACUACUUCCCGUUUGCAAUGGUAAGUAUAUUUCACUCCCAGCUACUCCUAUACUAGAAGAGGUAGAAUCAUCCAAAAAAACUUGGGGUGAAAGGGGGGUUGGGGGGGGGGGGACUUAAGGAAACAAAACUCAUAAUAUCCUCAUAAAUUUUCACAAUAGUGAAAACCAGACAAAGAGAUACUCAACGAAGAGGUGGCAAAGGACAAUGGCCAUGAUUCAAGUAUUAUAUCUGAAUAUCCAAAGUUUUAAUGUCAUGAUUGAUAUUUGCAACUCAAAACAUUUUCAAUCUCAGUGAAGAGAAAAAAUGGUAGAGAUCAUUUUUAGGCAAACAGAAAGUUGAAGUGGCUAUUAACAAUCAACUCGAAUGCCCAUUUUAGCAAUUUAAAAUUACAAACUUACAAGACUAAUUAAAGAAAACUCAUGUUGGCCAGCAAUGGUCACGCAACCAUAUUUCCUCAUGCAAGCUAUAGACAAGUUUUUUAGUGUCCCGAGCAAAACUAAGAGUUCAAUUCCAAUGGUUAUUUUCCAAUCAUACCAAAAGAAUAUGCAAUUACCAGUGGCUGCAAAAAUUAUAUGUGAGCAAACCGUGCCAGAUGGAGCAUUCAGAGGUAAUGCCAUGGCUCUGAUAAUAUGAUUUUCACAUGUACUGAAAUAUCAGAGAACAAGAAUAAGAUUGUCUAGUUGCAAGGUCUAGGAGAGAUAUAGGCGUCGGAGACCCAAAUGUUGUCAGUGGUUUCAGGUCCUGCUGGAACUGGAUUGAAUCCAAGUUCAUUGGCUACUGACCCAUCCUAAAAUGCCAUCAACCAUGCCCUUUGGCAAGAGUAUAUGUAUAGUCAUUCUACAACAUCAUACCCCGCAAUAAUAUUACAGAUUAAUGCAGUAUUCCCUUGUACUUUUUUAUGAAGAAACAAGAGUGAAAAUGGAAGAUUCCCCCAAUACAUUGAUCAGGAAAUGAUUAUCCACCAUAAAUUAAUCACUCCCCAAUCAACAAUCCUAACAAUAAACAGCAAAGUCAGGAGAUAUAUUAAUAUUUAUAGAGGGCAUAUAAAGCUAAAUAGAAAUCAGAGAUGAAAUCCAAAAACGACCAAAAUCCAACAAUCAUUAACCAUACAUUGAUAGAUUUCAAAAUCAACACUCCAAUUAACAGGCAUACAAACAAGAAAAUCCCGUAAAAGAAAACUUAAACAGAUACUAAAACCGAGUGAGUUUACACACGACUAGAAAGCAAUCAGAAAGAUGAAGACCAUAUAAGAUGACAACAACAGCAACAGCAAUUUUUUGCAAAAUUGCCAAACAAAAAAUCAUUAAUCCGUGGCAUUCGUCACCAAAAAUACGAAACAUUUAUAUCCAUGCACCAAAUAAUUAAGCCGGACGAAUUAUUCAACAUUCUAAUACAAUAUCAACAAACAUAAAAAAAAAAGGCAAGCGCACAGAGCAAACAUAUAUAAAUAUAUAAAGAGAUGAAAAGGGUGAUGAGACAUUACAUCGAGGGAGUCAAGAAGGUCAUCAACAGAUGAUGGAGGGUUUAAGAGACUAUUUCCAGCCUCUUUAAGCCGUUCUUCAAGCUCAGUCUCACUGUUAGGCAUUUCAACACUCUCUUAAACACAGAAACCAAAAACAAAAUACUCUCACUUUCUCUGAAAAUUCAGAGACUUUUCACCGAAACCCACAUCACAGACAAACAGUAGAGUAGUAUUUACAAAACCCACGGAUGAAAGAAAUCAAACCCGUUUGUUGACUGUUUCGUUUACAACUCUAAAGUCUAAACACAGUUGUCCAUGCAAGCAGGGGUUACCAAAGAGGCAGUUUUUUCCUCUUGGAUUCAACCCGUUAAUUCACUGUGGUUAAAAGAAUGGGGUUUUGGGUUCUGGGGUUUCUCCAUUUCUCUCUUUGUUUUCUUAUUUUAUUUUAUUGUCCUUUUUUUUCCUUCUUUCUUUUUAAUGGUAGUGCAAGAAAAAGAAUAUUUAUCUCAAGGAUAAGUUUAAGUUUGAUGGUUAAAAAGAAUUUAAUUCUUUUUAAUAUUUUAAAUUUAAAUUAUGAAAUUAAUACAUUUUACUUUAUAGAAUGCACUAUAAAAAUACAAAGGAGAAAAAUUUUAAUUUAGUUGCAUGCAAGAAAAUACUUAAGUAUAUGAUUGCUUUGGCAUAUUUUUCAAUUUCAACUUGUAAUCAUUAACAAGUUUAGUCUUCAUAUUUAAUUUGAGGCUAAAUAUUAGAAGCAUGAGUGUUAAUUUUAUUUUUUUAAUAUUAAUUUUUUUUAAUUGUUAUUGGUUUUAGAUCUUUUUAUUUUUAUAUUUUAAAAGUGAUUUUUAAAAAAAUAUAUAUUUUUAUUUACUUCAAAUUAAUAUUUUUUUUGUUGUGUUCAGAUCAUUUUGAUAUGAUGAUAUCAAAAAUAUUUUUUUAAAAAAUAUUAUUUUAAUAUAUUUUUGAGUAAAAAAUAUUUUAAAAAAUAACUAUAAGCGCACUUUCUAACUCGUUCUUAAUCAGGGAGGGUUAUUUGGGCAAAAAAUUAUUAAUGAAAGAAAUUUAAGGCUAUAUUUUUUAUUAGUAUUAUAGAGUAGAAAACAGAUAUAAAAUAAAUAGAAAAGUUUUUUGUUAAAAAAAUAUAAAUAUAAAAUAAUUUUAUUUUUAUAAUAGUUUUGAAAUAAUUUUUACUUUUAACAUAUGGGGAACAGAAAAGACUUUUUUUAUUAUUAUUGUAUCCAUAUGUUUAGGUAAAUUGAGUGAAAAUCACCUAACAAUUCGUAACUUUAUAAACACGUGAUAUUUAAAAAUAAUGCCCGCGUGCACGUGUGUGUAUACACACACGUGAGAUUUGUUUAUUUAUUUAUUUUUCAUACUCCAACUUUUAUUUUGUUAGAAAGCAUUUCAACUCUCUAUCUGUCAUCAAUCAAGUAUUCUAAAAGUACUUUUCUAUUCAGUCGAGUUUUUUUUAUUAAAUUGUAAUGAAGUAUUUGAACUUGCAAAGAUUGAGUGCAUGCUGAAUAUUGUCCAGCCUUCUCUAAAUUUCUAUAAGGUUAGUGAUUGCGAUAAUAUAUAAUAAAGUUUUUCGUGAAAUUAACUUCCAAGAAUUAGUACUUUUAAACAACACUCCUCCUUUAGCGAAAAGACGAUUUCCCUUUCUCCUCUAGAACGAGGUGGGAGAUCUCAGAUUCCCAGCACCAAGAACAACAAGAUGAAUAUAUCUCCUCUGGCAACUGUGACGACGUUACAUCCAUACCGGUGAGUUUUCAUCGACCGUGACAACACAAAGAAUGCUCAUUCAAUGGUAUUGCAUCACUCCCAAUCGUUUUCUUCUUCUCAAUUUCUUGAUUUUUUCUUAUCUCUCCGCUACCUCACCAUCAUAGAUGAGUUGCAAUUCUAAUGGCCAUGGUGAUGGUGUUCCUGGGUUGUCUAAUACGAGCAAAAAAACUGAAGUGCAGAUUCUAAAUAGUGACGAUGAAGGAGGAGGAGGAGAGUGUAAUAUUUAAUGUAAAAUAAUCGGUCACCCCUGCCAGAUUAAUUAUUUGAGCUCAAUUUAAUCUAGUUUCUUUUUGUUAUGAGAGGUCUGGAGAUCUGGGUUUGGGUUAAGAGGGUGGAGGUUAGUUCUUUUUAAUUGAAUGGAAAAGUUAUAAUAUUGAAUAUAGGGAUUUUUCAUUUUUUAAAUAAAAAUAAUGAUAAUUUUAUAAAUAAUUUUAUUGAUUUUUUUUUUUACGCAUUAGAGUGAGGAUAACUCGGCAAACCCAACAGAUUAGGGUUAAGGCAUGUGGACACUGGAUGCCCAUGACAGGGAUUUUAUGGAACUCAAAUCUAAAAUCUCAGAAACUUGAAUAUAAAGAAGAUUAAAAUCGCAAGCAACUUCAAGGCACUCGUGGACAAUCAAAGCAAGAAGUGAAGAAAGCUUGUAAACGCAUGUGUUUCAGCAACAAACAUUAAACUGGUAACUAUCAUGUUCAAAAAACAAUUACGCCUGAUGAGCUACUUCUGCAUGUCAUUUAUUAAUUAAUGUCUUAAAAAUGUGCUAAUUCUGCAUUUCAUAUAUCAAUAAAAAGGUGUUUCGCCACAACAAUUGGAAGCACUUUGAUUAAAGUCCUAGGCAAAUAGAAGACUCAAAACUCCCGGACCAUGAGAUUGAUGACCGGAAAACAUUAAAAAAAAAUCCCAUAGAAUUGCGGGCCAUGGAAACAUGGAGUGAAGGUCUCUACAAAUGAAAUUCAAAUCAGAGCCUGUUAAAUUAGAACUGUUUUGACUCAGUUAGACUUGACAUGUUCCUGAACAACAUUAUAGCCUUCACUUGUCUCACCAUAAUCCUGCAAACCAGCAAGGGAAAAAAUGUUAACCCU